rnacentral:rRNA from 1 species
GACACGGUCCAGACUCCUACGGGAGGCAGCAGUGGGGAAUAUUGCACAAUGGGCGCAAGCCUGAUGCAGCAACGCCGCGUGAGGGACGACGGCCUUCGGGUUGUAAACCUCUUUUAGCAGGGAAGAAGCGAAAGUGACGGUACCUGCAGAAAAAGCGCCGGCUAACUACGUGCCAGCAGCCGCGGUAAUACGUAGGGCGCAAGCGUUAUCCGGAAUUAUUGGGCGUAAAGAGCUCGUAGGCGGUCUGUCGCGUCUGCUGUGAAAUCCCGAGGCUCAACCUCGGGCCUGCAGUGGGUACGGGCAGACUAGAGUGCGGUAGGGGAGAUUGGAAUUCCUGGUGUAGCGGUGGAAUGCGCAGAUAUCAGGAGGAACACCGAUGGCGAAGGCAGAUCUCUGGGCCGUAACUGACGCUGAGGAGCGAAAGGGUGGGGAGCAAACAGGCUUAGAUACCCUGGUAGUCCACCCCGUAAACGUUGGGAACUAGUUGUGGGGGCCAUUCCACGGUCUCCGUGACGCAGCUAACGCAUUAAGUUCCCCGCCUGGGGAGUACGGCCGCAAGGCUAAAACUCAAAGGAAUUGACGGGGACCCGCACAAGCGGCGGAGCAUGCGGAUUAAUUCGAUGCAACGCGAAGAACCUUACCAAGGCUUGACAUAUACGAGAACGGGCCAGAAAUGGUCAACUCUUUGGACACUCGUAAACAGGUGGUGCAUGGUUGUCGUCAGCUCGUGUCGUGAGAUGUUGGGUUAAGUCCCGCAACGAGCGCAACCCU